GGCGUGCCUAAUACAUGCAAGUCGAGCGGACAGAUGGGAGCUUGCUCCCUGAUGUCAGCGGCGGACGGGUGAGUAACACGUGGGUAACCUGCCUGUAAGACUGGGAUAACUCCGGGAAACCGGGGCUAAUACCGGAUGCUUGAUUGAACCGCAUGGUUCAAUUAUAAAAGGUGGCUUUUAGCUACCACUUACAGAUGGACCCGCGGCGCAUUAGCUAGUUGGUGAGGUAACGGCUCACCAAGGCAACGAUGCGUAGCCGACCUGAGAGGGUGAUCGGCCACACUGGGACUGAGACACGGCCCAGACUCCUACGGGAGGCAGCAGUAGGGAAUCUUCCGCAAUGGACGAAAGUCUGACGGAGCAACGCCGCGUGAGUGAUGAAGGUUUUCGGAUCGUAAAACUCUGUUGUUAGGGAAGAACAAGUACCGUUCGAAUAGGGCGGUACCUUGACGGUACCUAACCAGAAAGCCACGGCUAACUACGUGCCAGCAGCCGCGGUAAUACGUAGGUGGCAAGCGUUGUCCGGAAUUAUUGGGCGUAAAGCGCGCGCAGGCGGUUUCUUAAGUCUGAUGUGAAAGCCCCCGGCUCAACCGGGGAGGGUCAUGGAAACUGGGGAACUUGAGUGCAGAAGAGGAGAGUGAAUUCCACGUGUAGCGGUGAAAUGCGUAGAGAUGUGGAGGAACACCAGUGGCGAAGGCGACUCUCUGGUCUGUAACUGACGCUGAGGCGCGAAAGCGUGGGGAGCGAACAGGAUUAGAUACCCUGGUAGUCCACGCCGUAAACGAUGAGUGCUAAGUGUUAGAGGGUUUCCGCCCUUUAGUGCUGCAGCAAACGCAUUAAGCACUCCGCCUGGGAGUACGGUC
rnacentral:rRNA from 1 species